rnacentral:rRNA from 1 species
CCUACGGGAGGCAGCAGUGGGGAAUAUUGCACAAUGGGGGGAACCCUGAUGCAGCGACGCCGCGUGAGUGAAGAAGUAUUUCGGUAUGUAAAGCUCUAUCAGCAGGGAAGAAAAUGACGGUACCUGACUCAGCAGCACCGGCUAACUACGUGCCAGCAGCCGCGGUAAGACGGCGGGGGCAAGCGUUCUCCGGAUUUACGGGGUGGAAAGGGAGCGUAGACGGCAGAGCAAGUCUGAAGUGAAAGCCCGCGGCCCAACUGCGGGACUGCUUUGGAAACUGCCCGGCUAGAGUGCUGUAGAGGGGAGCAGAAUGCCUGGUGUAGCGGUGAAAGGCGUAGAGAUUAGGAGGAACACCAGUGGCGAAGGCGGCUUACUGGACUGUAACUGACGUUGAGGCGCGAAAGCGUGGGGAGCAAACAGGAUUAGAGACCCGUGUAGUC